UGAAGCCCUUCGGGGUGGAUUAGUGGCGAACGGGUGAGUAACACGUGGGCAAUCUGCCCUGCACUCUGGGACAAGCCCUGGAAACGGGGUCUAAUACCGGAUACUGAUCGCCUUGGGCAUCCUUGGUGAUCGAAAGCUCCGGCGGUGCAGGAUGAGCCCGCGGCCUAUCAGCUUGUUGGUGAGGUAAUGGCUCACCAAGGCGACGACGGGUAGCCGGCCUGAGAGGGCGACCGGCCACACUGGGACUGAGACACGGCCCAGACUCCUACGGGAGGCAGCAGUGGGGAAUAUUGCACAAUGGGCGAAAGCCUGAUGCAGCGACGCCGCGUGAGGGAUGACGGCCUUCGGGUUGUAAACCUCUUUCAGCAGGGAAGAAGCGAAAGUGACGGUACCUGCAGAAGAAGCGCCGGCUAACUACGUGCCAGCAGCCGCGGUAAUACGUAGGGCGCGAGCGUUGUCCGGAAUUAUUGGGCGUAAAGAGCUCGUAGGCGGCUUGUCGCGUCGGUUGUGAAAGCCCGGGGCUUAACCCCGGGUCUGCAGUCGAUACGGGCAGGCUAGAGUUCGGUAGGGGAGAUCGGAAUUCCUGGUGUAGCGGUGAAAUGCGCAGAUAUCAGGAGGAACACCGGUGGCGAAGGCGGAUCUCUGGGCCGAUACUGACGCUGAGGAGCGAAAGCGUGGGGAGCGAACAGGAUUAGAUACCCUGGUAGUCCACGCCGUAAACGGUGGGCACUAGGUGUGGGCGACAUUCCACGUCGUCCGUGCCGCAGCUAACGCAUUAAGUGCCCCGCCUGGGGAGUACGGCCGCAAGGCUAAAACUCAAAGGAA
rnacentral:rRNA from 1 species